GAUGAACGCUAGCGGCAGGCUUAAUACAUGCAAGUCGAGGGGCAGCAGGUCCCGCAGCAAUGCGGGAUGCUGGCGACCGGCAAACGGGUGCGGAACACGUACGCAACCUACCCAUAACUGGAGGACAGCCCGGGGAAACCCGGAUUAAUACUCCGUAACAUAUUGAGAAGGCAUCUUCUUACUAUUAUAGUCUUCGGGCGGUUAUGGAUGGGCGUGCGCCUGANAGGUAGGUUGGCGGGGUAACGGCCCACCAAGCCUACGAUCAGUAACUGGUGUGAGAGCACGACCAGUCACACGGGCACUGAGACACGGGCCCGACUCCUACGGGAGG
rnacentral:rRNA from 1 species